rnacentral:lncRNA from 1 species
CCUAUUGUAAAAGAGAUUUAAAUUUCUGACAGGGACGGCAUCCCAUUUUUUUGGGUCUUCUCGACGAAUUGUAAAAGCAGUCCACAAUCACAGCAAAGCCAUGACCUCACUCUUAUUCUUGUCCUGCUCGAAUGUAGUUUUGAACAGUACAUUGCCAAUCUCAAGUCCACUUAAUUAUAGCCACAAACAGUGCCUUUAAAAAGGAUAUGAAAAUCAGUCUCUUACAAGCAAUCCCACCUCGAAAUUCUCUGGCAAAUAAAGAAAAAAAAAGGAGCUCAGUAGCAGAAUGAAGAAAGCUGAGCUGGUCUUCAUACCAACACCAGGUAUCAGCCACCUCGUAUCCACAGUAGAGGUAGCAAAGCUUCUUGUUGACCGUGAUGAGAGGCUUUCAGUCACCUUCCUAAUCAUGAAAAUACGUUCUGACCCCAAGAUUGAUAGGUUUAUAAAUUCAAUGAGUACAGCCUGUAAUCGUAUCCGCUUCAUUGACUUGCCUAAAGAUGAGCCUGAUCCAAACCAACCCAGGAAGUUUCUCUUUUCUAUGUUUGAAGCCCAGAUACCCCAUGUCAAAGAUGAAGUCUCUAAGCUUGUGAGCCUGUCCGAGUCAAGCCCUGACUCGCCUACACUUUCUGGGUUUGUUCUCGAUAUGUUUUGUACACCAAUGAUAGACGUGGCCAAUGAAUUUGGUGUUCCCUCAUAUAUUUUCCUUACGUCAGGUGCAGCUUUUCUUGGCCUCCAAUUUUAUGUUCAGGCUCUUCACGAUGAGCAGAAAGUUGACCCUACUGAGUUCAAGGGCUCGGAUGCUGAGUUGGUCAUGCCGUGUUUGGCAAAUCCUGUUCCAGCUAAGGUCUUGCCUUCUGUUUUGCUUAACAAAGAGUGGCUGCCAAAUAUGCUCCGUCAAGCUAGAAGGUUUAGAGAAACUAAGGGUAUUAUAAUAAACACAUUUGAAGAGCUGGAAUCCCAUGCGAUCAACUCCUUUUCUAAAGGUAAUAGCCCUCCGGUAUAUCCAGUGGGUCCCAUUUUAAACCUUAAUAGAGAUGGUGAUUGUGACGAGGAGUCUGAUAAAUACAAAGACAUCAAGCAAUGGCUUGAUGAUCAGCCCCUAUCCUCAGUAGUGUAUCUAUGCUUCGGGAGCAUGGGGAGUUUCGGAGUGGAUCAGGUGAAGGAAAUUGCUUAUGGGCUAGAGCAGAGCGGGCACCGAUUCUUGUGGUCUCUACGUCAACCACCACCGGAAGGGAAGAUGGAAGCUCCAAGCGAUUACACUGAUCCUCGGGAUGUCUUACCUGAAGGAUUUUUGGAUCGGACGGCUAACACAGGAAAAAUAAUUGGAUGGGCCCCACAGACAGAUAUUUUGGGCCAUCCAUCCGUAGGAGGGUUUGUAUCGCACUGUGGAUGGAACUCUAUAUUGGAAAGCAUAUGGUUUGGCGUUCCGAUUGCCGCGUGGCCAUUAUAUGCAGAGCAACAACUCAAUGCCUUUCAAAUGAUUGUUGAGCUCGGAUUGGGAGUGGAGAUUAAAAUGGAUUAUAGAAGAGAGUUUAUCUCGAAUGGUAAUGAAACUGUCAUUAGUGCCGGGGAGAUCGAGAGAGGAGUAAGGUGUUUAAUGGAGCUUUGCGAUGAGAAGAGGGAGAAGUUGAAGGAGAUGAGUGGAAAGAGCAGGAAGGCUUUGGAGAACGGUGGAUCCUCGUUCACAUGGUUAGGUCGUUUCAUUCAAGAUACGAUGGACCACCUACAAUGAUUAAAUUACUAGAUGCCAUCCCGGUGCCGCAGGCUUGUGGUAUAUUUAUAUAUUAUUGUAGAUUUAUGAAAAAAAUAAAAAUAUAUAUAUAAAAAGAGAAAAAUUGUUGCAAAUGUUUUCAAAAAAAAAAGUAAAAUUUUUAAUCAGUUUAAUAUUUAAAAAAUAAAAUAAUAAAAGAAAAUUUUUAAAAAAUUCACAUAAAAAAAAAACGAAAGGAAAGAAAAACUUUGUAAUAAAAUACUGUAAUAAUUUAUAGUGUUUCAUAAAAAAAUUCAUAAUUAUAAUUCUUAACUAACUCAAUAGUUAAAAUAAUAAAAUUAAUAAAAAUAAUUUUAAAAAAUUUCGUAACAAUAAAAAAUUAUAUGGUGGAAAACUGUAAUAAUCUACUCUACUUGACUUGGGCUAGGGCUUGAAUUGGCCUCUUGACUUUUUGGAGCUUGGGCAUUUCUUUGCUGGGUAUUCUUUUUCUUCAAUUGAACUUCUCUCUGCCCAUACAAACACAAAAAAAGAUAAAAAAAUAAUAAAAAAAAACAUGUAGGAAAAGUUAAAACUAAAUUCUAAAUCAGUUAAAUAUUAAAAAAAACAUUCGGGAAAGAUAAUUUAAAAAAAAACAUGUAGAUAAACACUGUAGCAAAACAAAAACCAUGUGGGGAAACGUUAUUACAGUCCAUAGUGUUUUUUUAAAAAAAAACUACGAAGCAAAAUUCAUAACCAGCUUAAUAUGAAAAAAAAAAAUCGACAAAGAUUAUUUUUAAAAAAAUCAUGAAAAAAAAGAAAACAAAUGUGUGAAAACAUUGCAGUAAUCCAAAAUGUUUUUUAAAAAAACUACAGAAUUAAAUUUUCAACUAGUUCAAUAUUAAAAAACAUUGACAAAGAUAAUUUAAAAAAAAACACAAAAAGAAAAAAGAAGAUAAUCUUAGGGGAUAAAAAGAAAAAAAAUGUAAAAUAAAAAAAAAAGGUAAAAACGAUAAAAAAAAAAUUAGGGAAAGAUUAAAAAAAAAGGGAAAAAAAAAGACAAAAUACAAAAGUAACUGAAAAAACAAAAACAACACAAAACAAAAUUAAAAAUAUUAAAAAACAAAAACAUGUAAGGAAAGUGUUUUAAAGUUUUUGUUUAAGUUGUUUUAUUGUUAUAAUUAUAGCUGUCGGAUCUUCUUGGGAAUUUAUACGAAAAAUCCAAGAGGCUAUGAAGUGAAUCUGGAUGCACUAUUUUUAUAGAAAAACUAAUAUUUUAUUAUUUUCUUAUGUUGAUCAACAAGAUUAUUAGGGUUGGAUUUAGCAACGACAAGGAGAACGAUGUCGUAUGAAUUUGAUUUAAUUAAAUAUCUUUGUAAAACUGAGCCUAAAUCAGGCUUUCAAUUUCAAAUUUCUUGUACCAAUCCACUAAACUAACCCUUAAAAGGUUCAUUACCUGGGAAGUCAUUCUAAAAUGACGAAAUGAUAGUCACUUUUCUGACAAAAAUUCAUUGAAAAAGUCAAAACAUCUACGACGCAGAUCUCCAAUGUUUUCAUUUUCUAAAACCAUCACCAAAAGCUCUUUUUUUUUUUUUCCGGAUGGUUAUCGUUAUUAUGUUAUUUUUGUUGAUGUCCACACAAAAUAUAUAUGGUAUUAUCCAUUUAUUGUAAAAUCUGAUGUUUAUUCUAUUUUUCAUCAAUUUUAAACUUUUAUCGAGCAUCAAUUUUCAUCAAAAAUAAAAUAUGUUCAAACUGAUUGGGGCAGUGACUCUCCAUUUUCUUUCAAACCAUUAGUAUUUAUCACCAUUUGAUAUGUCCUCACACUUGCGAACAAAAUGGAAUAGUAAAAAGACAUCAUUGACAUAUUGUGGAAACCGACCUUACUCUUUUAGGCCAAUGUAAAUCUCCAUUCCGCUUUUGGAAUUAUGCUUUUGAAACUUUGGUUUAUCUCAUCAAUCGCAUGCCUAUUCUUGUUCUUGCAAAUCGAUCUCCAUAUGAUUGUUUGUGUCAUUGUUCUACUUAUUAUCAUUUUUUGCGUACUUUUGGAUGUCUCUGUUUUCCCUUUUUGCGUCCUUAUAAUAAUCAUAAACCGGAUUUUCAGUCUUUUCCAUGUGUGUUUUAUGGCUACAGUUCUUCUCACCUUGGUUAUCGAUGUUUUGACAUUGAAUCUUAUCACAUGUAUAUCUUCUGUUAUGUCUGUUUUCAUGAACAUGUUUUUUCGUUUGAUAAUUCUGAACAUAUUACAUAGGUUUUGGCUCAAAACCACACACUAUUUCCUGCUACCAUCCUCCCAAAUCUGACCCACACCCCAUUAUUCACCGAUCAUGACACACCCCAUUCCGCCUCAGCCUCUACCCUGCAUUCACCUCCUACUAAAACACCACAGUCUCUACCUUUCACUUGCCGAUCACCAUAUACAUCUUUAUCUCACCAUUCUGUUGCAGGUACAUGUUGUAGAUUAGUUUUCCCUACACUCCAGCACGAUGUCUCUGCUAGUACUGGGAAACCCUUUGGUUCCUCCUUUGCUUCCCCUUUAUUUUGCCAGUCACCUGGCUUCUGAAGACUCUGUCUUUGUUGCCAACCUUGUUGUUGUUGGCAGCCCUCUGCUUGAGGCAACUUCUUCACCUAGUUUGAAUCUAGUGAUUGAUCUCUCCGCUUAUCCACUACAGCAGGACACCUCUGUGACACCAACCUCCGCUGCAUCACCAUCGUUUCUCAGCUGCCACCUUAUGGUCCUUAGACCGCGACAGCCCAAAACCGCAAAUAUGAUGGCCUCUACUGCAGCUGAUACAGUUGCCACUUGAGUAUUGCUAUCUCCUUCUUCUGAACCAAUUGCCUUCUCUGAUUUAGAUAAAUAUGUUGAUUGGCAUGAUGUUAUAUGUGAAGAGAUCAAGGCAUUGCGUUCCAACCACACUUGGUCCCUAAUGCCCCUUCAUCCUUCGAUGAAUGUUGUUGGCAAUCGAUGAAUAUAUCGGAUCAAACAUCGUGUUGAUGGUAGCAUUGAAUGUUAUAAAGCCCGUCUAGUUGCUAAAGGCUUUACCCAACAGGAAAGCAUUGAUUAUUCUGAAACUUUAGUCCAGUUAUUAAGCAGGCCACCAUCAGAUUAGUCUUGUCCAUUACGGUUUCACGUAAUUAGAAGAUUCAUAAGCUCGAUAUUCAUAAUGCAUUUCUCAAUGGUGUUCUUAUUGAAGAAGUCUACAUGAAGCAACCUCCAGAUUUUAUUGACCCUACUCUUCCAUCUCAUGUGUGCAAAUUGUACAAGUCAUUAUAUGGUUUAAAACAGACACCAAGGGCAUGGUACACCCAUCUGAGUAAGUUUUUACUCUCCAUUGGUUUCCUUGCCUUCAAGGUUGACACCUCCUUGUUUUAUCUUAUUUGAUGGUACUAAUAUCUUUUUUCUCCUAGUAUAUGUUGAUGAUAUUCUACUUAUGGGUAGCAACUCUGUCAUGUUUCAUCACCUAAUCCAGUUACUCAGCUUAGAAUUCAAGCUUCGUGACUUAGGUAUUGUUCACUAUUGUCUGGGUAUUGAAGUUCAGUAUACAAGUAUAGGUUUAAUGUUGCGCCAACACAAAUAUAUUAUUCACAUCCUCACUCGAGGUGGUAUGCCUUCUUGUUAACCCGUUGAUACUCUAGGUUCCCUCCAUCUCUGCUCCUUGGUGCGAUCUAUCUCUCAGCAAAUCCUAUCUUUCAUGCUUGUAUUAAACAUAUUGAGGUAGAUUAUCACUUUGUCUGCAAAGAAGAAAAUUCAUAUUCGCUUUAUCCCUUCUCGGGAUCAACUUGUUGAUGUCUUCAACAAAUCACUUUCUGUUGUGUCUUUUACUGCUUUCAGGUUUAAGCUUCGGGUCGAUCCUCAACCCUCAACUUGAAGGGACAUAUUAUAGAAUGUAUAGCAUGUAUAUCUUUCAAUAAAAAAUUAAUGUAGAAUUAUUUUAAUGUUAUAAUCCCUAUAAUAACGAUCGUAUUCUACCUUACAUGUAUAUAUCAAAAAAAUUGAUUAAUAACAACCUAAAUCAUUAUGUUAUUCUCGAUUUCUAUUAUCAUCAAUUAAAAAAAAAUAGAAAAUUCAGCCCAUAAUACGAUAGGGAGGGCAAAAUAUUCAGCCCAUAAUAACUGAGCAACAGCUAAUAAGGGUUCAAAAAACGUUGUCUUUUCAUGACUUAAAUUACUGACAGGAACGGCAUCGCUUUUUUUUGGGUCUUCUUGACGAAUUGUAAAAGCAGUCCACAAUGACAGCAAAGCCAUGACCUCACUCUCACUCUUGUCCUGCACGUAUAUAUUUUUGAGCAGUAAAUUGCCAAUCUCAAGUCCACUUAAUUAUAGCCACAAGUAGUGCCCUUAAAAAGGAUAUGAAAAUCAGUCUUUUACAUGCAAUCCCACCUUGAAAUUCUCUAGCAAAUAAAGAAAAAAUUAAAGAGCUCAGUCGCAGAAUGAAGAAAGCUGAGCUGGUCUUCAUACCAACACCAGGUAUCAGCCACCUCCUAUCCACAGUAGAGGUAGCAAAGCUUCUUCUAGACCGUGAUGAGAGGCUUUCAAUCACCUUCCUCAUCAUGAAAAUACGUUCUGACCCCAAGAUUGAGAGGUUUAUAAAUUCAGUGAGUACAGCCUGUAAUCGUAUCCGCUUCAUUGACUUGCCUAAAGAUGAGCCUGAUCCAAACCAACCCAGGAAGUUUCUCUUUUCUUUGAUUGAAACCCAGAUACCCCAUGUCAAAGAUGAAGUCUCUAAGCUUGUGAGCCAG